rnacentral:lncRNA from 1 species
UGGUCAGGCAAAAGGGCUGAAGGGUUCAGUUUUGCCUAACGCAGGUCGCGGGGUCCCUCCACGUUUGCAAAACGUGGAAGGAGGUUCACUAGUAUGAUUGAGAUAUUUGCUUUGAAGUUCUUUCUUCGAGACUAGCUCGAAUUCAGAAAAGAAAGCAAAUGAGAUGAAUUUGAUGAGGAGUACUUUGGAGGUGACAAAGAACUCUUGAAUGACAAGAGAUUAAGGAAUCUCUGCUUUUCGGAAUGUCCAGGAAGUUGGAAGACUCCUCUCGAAAUGGUAUGGACUAUACUAGUGGAACCUGUUUGCUUAUGGAGGGUUUCCCCUUUUGGGGUUCAAGGCUUUGGACCCCUGGUUAAUAGGGUGUGCCUGUACAGACCUGCUCUGACUUUGUGAGUUGGUGAGCGUGAGUUGGUGAGAUGAGUUGGUGGACAUGACUAGUUACUGUUCCUCGAUUCACUCAUUAUACAGCUUUUCAUCCGAUGAACCUUUCAACCUUUUAAGCUCUUUGCAUAUUAGUGAUUUUAUUUGUCUUUGGGCUACCCCCGUCGUCAGCCCCCCAAGUCAGAGGUUUUUGGGGUAUUAUGCUCAAAGACUUCUGACUUUUAU